rnacentral:rRNA from 1 species
UACGUAGGUGACAAGCGUUGUCCGGAUUUACUGGGCGUAAAGAGCGCGCAGGCGGUCGUUCAAGUCGAGUGUGAAAGCCCCCGGCUCAACUGGGGAGGGUCACUCGAUACUGAUCGACUCGAAGGCAGGAGAGGGUAGUGGAAUUCCCGGUGUAGUGGUGAAAUGCGUAGAUAUCGGGAGGAACACCAGUGGCGAAGGCGAGUCCCUGGACAACACCUGACACUGAGGCACGAAAGCUAGGGGAGCAAACAGG